GAUGAACGCUGGCGGCGUGCCUAGUACAUGCAAGUCGAGCGAACGGACGAGAAGCUUGCUUCUCUGAUGUUAGCGGCGGACGGGUGAGUAACACGUGGAUAACCUACCUAUAAGACUGGGAUAACUUCGGGAAACCGGAGCUAAUACCGGAUAAUAUUUUGAACCGCAUGGUUCAAAAGUGAAAGACGGUCUUGCUGUCACUUAUAGAUGGAUCCGCGCUGCAUUAGCUAGUUGGUAAGGUAACGGCUUACCAAGGCAACGAUGCAUAGCCGACCUGAGAGGGUGAUCGGCCACACUGGAACUGAGACACGGUCCAGACUCCUACGGGAGGCAGCAGUAGGGAAUCUUCCGCAAUGGGCGAAAGCCUGACGGAGCAACGCCGCGUGAGUGAUGAAGGUCUUCAGAUCGUAAAACUCUGUUAUUAGGGAAGAACAUAUGUGUAAGUAACUGUGCACAUCUUGACGGUACCUAAUCAGAAAGCCACGGCUAACUACGUG
rnacentral:rRNA from 1 species